GACGAACGCUGGCGGCAGGCCUAACACAUGCAAGUCGAACGAGUGGCGGACGGGUGAGUAAUGUCUGGGAAACUGCCCGCUGGAGGGGGAUAACUACUGGAAACGGUAGCUAAUACCGCAUACCAUCGGAUGUGCCCAGAGGGGAUUAGCUAGUAGGGGGGGUAACGGCUCACCUAGGCGACGAUCCCUAGCUGGUCUGAGAGGAUGACCAGCCACCCUGGAUCUGAGACACGGCCCAGAUUCCGACGGGAGGCAGCAGUGGGGAAUAUUGCACAAUGGGUGAAAGCCUGAUGCAGCCAUGCCGCGUGUAUGAAGAAGGCCUUCGGGUUGUAAAGUACUGUCAGCUAGGAGGCGUUACUCGAAGAAGAAGCACCGGCUAACUCCGUGCCAGCAGCCGCGGUAAUUC
rnacentral:rRNA from 1 species